CCCAUCCAAAAUUACUCUUCUAUUUCGCCAGCAAAGAGGCGCCGCUAAAAGCCACCGCCCACCCCGGCAUUUUUUCGCCAGAUUCAAUCUGUUCUCCUAUCCCACAACUGCAGCGAUCAGGGCCUGAAGAAGAUUGGGGGUCGCCGGCUGGCCGCCCCGUCGGUUCAAGCUCCGAUCCACAACAUCAACCAACCCCGCGAGCACUCCGCUCUAUUCUCCCCCUGAUUUGCAGCGACCGGCGACAGCGGAUUGAAGGAGGCCGCCCCACCAGCGGAGCUCAGAUCCACCGCAUCAACCCGCGCGUGAGCCUUUCCCCACCGACUACAGCAACCGGGUCACCAGGAUACAAUGAAGGGAUUUGGGGGAGAAAAGCACCGAGGUGAGGUAGACGAAAGAGAGAAGGCAUCGAGAGGAGUUAGCCGCGAGGCUUGAAGCACAAGUGACAACAUUUGAAGACAUGCAGGGGAAGGAACAUGGAGAAUUGCAAGCUGUGAAGAAGAGACAGCAAGAGAAGAAUGAAGCCUGGCAAAAGAAGCAACAUGAGAUGGAUAACCUGAUUGGUUUUCUCUUAAAGGCUCAAGGAACUCAGCAAGCAACUUAGCAGUCCCAUUCCAAACCUGACGGUGCAUGAAGGCCAUCCUUUUGUGAUGGAAAGAUAGUUGUUGAAUCAUAUGUUGUAAUCAUCAGGACAACACAUGUGGUCUUUAGUUAUUUAAAUAUUGCCUUUUUAACUUGUCUAUUGUCGUGUCAAACUCCAGAGUGAGUGUUCCAUUUUAUUGUCACUUCUAGUUAGAGGAUGAUUUGGCUGAGACGGUUGAUUAUAUGAUAUGAUUUGUCGUUCAUUCAAAUUUA